GAUGAAGAACGUAGCGAAAUGCGAUAAGUAAUGUGAAUUGCAGAAUUCAGUGAAUCAUCGAAUCUUUGAACGCACAUUGCGCCCGCCAGUAUUCUGGCGGGCAUGCCUGUUCGAGCGUCAUUACAACCCUCAGGCCCCCGGGCCUGGCGUUGGGGAUCGGCGGAAGCCCCCUGCGGGCACAACGCCGUCCCCAAAUACAGUGGCGGUCCCGCCGCAGCUUCCAUUGCGUAGUAGCUAACACCUCGCAACUGGAGAGCGGCGCGGCCACGCCGUAAAACACCCAACUUCUGAAUGUUGACCUCGAAUCAGGUAGGAAUACCCGCUGAACUUAAGCAUAUCAAUAAGCGGAGGA
rnacentral:misc_RNA from 1 species